CCUACGGGAGGCAGCAGUAGGGAAUAUUGCACAAUGGGGGAAACCCUGAUGCAGCAACGCCGCGUGGGGGAUGAAGGUUUUCGGAUUGUAAAGUCCUUUCGUUAGAGAAGAUAAUGACGGUAUCUAACGAAUAAGCACCGGCUAACUACGUGCCAGCAGCCGCGGUAAUACGGAGGGUGCAAGCGUUACUCGGAUUCACUGGGCGUAAAGGGCGCGUAGGCGGGUUAGCAAGUCAGAUGUGAAAUGCUAUGGCUUAACCAUAGGACUGCAUUUGAAACUGUUAUGCUAGAGUAGAGGAGAGGUAAGCGGAAUUCCUGGUGUAGGGGUAAAAUGCGUAGAUAUCAAGAGGAACACUCAUGGCGAAGGCGACCUGCUAGA
rnacentral:rRNA from 1 species